rnacentral:tRNA from 1 species
CGGGGCGUGGCGCAGUCCGGUUAGCGCGCUUGCUUUGGGAGCAAGAGGCCGUAGGUUCGAAUCCUAUCGCCCCGACAA